CAUCAUACUGGUGCAAGUCUUUGUCAGGCAGCUCUGCGAAGAAGUGAUUGGCUUUGACUAUGCAUCUCAUACCAUUGCUCCCCUUCCCUGGACGCAGGGGAAACCUUAGUAAUUUGCUUGAUGCAGGUGGAACUGCUUGCGUUGUAGCCGCUUCUUGUUGCAAAGCAAGUUGCUGGAACUGUUGUGUCACUUGUAGAGCUGCCUGCUCAGGUGGCUGAGAUGAGGGAUUUGCUUGAUGCAGGUGGAACUGCUUGCAUUGGAGCCGCUUCUUGCUGCAAAGCAAGUUGCUGGAACUGUUGUGUCACUUGUAGAGCUGCCUGCUCAGGUGGCUGAGAUGAGGAACCAGCUUCCGAGGAUGUUUCAGUUGGUCUUACAUAAGGUAUAGGCUGAGUAGUCAUUGCAGCUUGAUAUGGAGUCUGGGAGGUAGCUUGGUGCAGCUCGGGUGCUGGUGGCCUAGAAGGCCCACCAGAAGGUGCCCCACGGCCACCUAUGCCACCAUGUUGCUGGGGUGGUCCUCCGCCUUGUUGAUGCUGCUGAGUCCCCCUGCCCUGCUGAUAGUAUU
rnacentral:lncRNA from 1 species